CACAUAUUCCUCGGUGCUAGUUUGUGUCGCGCAGAGCCGUAUCAGAUCGCGCGUGUCCGUUUGUCGCGUCUGCCGCUCCACUUCGCUCUGCGCACUGACAUGACGCUGGUCCGGUGAGCAUUGCACGCCGACAGCGUGCACAUAAGUGGUCGCGGUUUGGCUGCCAGUGUUAUGUACUGGUACAGGUGUGUACUGUGUGCCCGUGGAUUUGGAUAUCCGACCGAGUCGCUCGUGCUCACCCAACGAAAAGGUUUUGCUACGCAGAAAUCCAGGCAGCCAUUAAUACAUGGCAAGAUUCUUACAUAUAGUGGCGUACCAUAUCUGCGAAAGGGCAAUCCUGAAACGCUAACUUAGAUGUCGGUGCUGACCUCGAUUCGUCUUUCUGUGACUUUCAUUCUAUACGAUUUCUAGCUAAGUAAGCUUUACAAAGAGGAUCAAAACUGAUCUCAGUAAUAUUUAAGAAGACCUGGAGAGCAAAUCCGACAAAUAUCGGAUAAACCAAAACAUGCUAACCUGGACCACUGAUGGCUCGUUGACUGAAGAGGGUACCGCCGAGGCUGAAACAUACGCCAUGUAAAGGUGCACAGACUUUAAUAUCAGGCGAAACUACCUAAAUCAGAACAUCGCUAUCUUGGCUAACAGCAAAGCGGCUAUCAAGGCCCUCAGAACUCAUCAGUUAGCAUCUCAACUGGUGAUUGAGUGCCUCGAUAAGUUGAAUACUCUUCGUCGGACCAAUCGAGUUUGGAAAGGAAAGGAAACGUGAUCGACGAUGGCCCGGUUAGAGGAAGAGGCUCGAAGAAAUCGCUACUGGGAUAAACUACCAUGUCUAGAGCAGUCCAAAGCACUUUCAGGAACAUAUAACCUAAAAAGCUUUAUGAAAUGUUUGAGCUUAUCAAAAAAUAGAAAUAAAAUAUUGAGAAUUAUUACUGAAAA